UUGAACGCUGGCGGCAGGCCUAACACAUGCAAGUCGAGCGGAUGAAGGGAGCUUGCUCCUGGAUUCAGCGGCGGACGGGUGAGUAAUGCCUAGGAAUCUGCCUGGUAGUGGGGGAUAACGUCCGGAAACGGGCGCUAAUACCGCAUACGUCCUGAGGGAGAAAGUGGGGGAUCUUCGGACCUCACGCUAUCAGAUGAGCCUAGGUCGGAUUAGCUAGUUGGUGGGGUAAAGGCCUACCAAGGCGACGAUCCGUAACUGGUCUGAGAGGAUGAUCAGUCACACUGGAACUGAGACACGGUCCAGACUCCUACGGGAGGCAGCAGUGGGGAAUAUUGGACAAUGGGGGAAAGCCUGAUCCAGCCAUGCCGCGUGUGUGAAGAAGGUCUUCGGAUUGUAAAGCACUUUAAGUUGGGAGGAAGGGCAGUAAGUUAAUACCUUGCUGUUUUGACGUUACCAACAGAAUAAGCACCGGCUAACUUCGUG
rnacentral:rRNA from 1 species